AGUGAACGCUGGCGGUAGGCCUAACACAUGCAAGUCGAACGGCAGCACAGUAAGAGCUUGCUCUUACGGGUGGCGAGUGGCGGACGGGUGAGGAAUACAUCGGAAUCUACUUUUUCGUGGGGGAUAACGUAGGGAAACUUACGCUAAUACCGCAUACGACCUACGGGUGAAAGCAGGGGAUCUUCGGACCUUGCGCGAUUGAAUGAGCCGAUGUCGGAUUAGCUAGUUGGCGGGGUAAAGGCCCACCAAGGCGACGAUCCGUAGCUGGUCUGAGAGGAUGAUCAGCCACACUGGAACUGAGACACGGUCCAGACUCCUACGGGAGGCAGCAGUGGGGAAUAUUGGACAAUGGGCGCAAGCCUGAUCCAGCCAUACCGCGUGGGUGAAGAAGGCCUUCGGGUUGUAAAGCCCUUUUGUUGGGAAAGAAAAGCAGCAGGUUAAUACCCCGCUGUUCUGACGGUGCCCAAAGAAUAAGCAUCGGCUAACUUCGUG
rnacentral:rRNA from 1 species